AUUGGCAACCAUAAAGAGCAUGCAACAUCCGAUCCCAUCUCGAACUCGGUAAUUAAGAUGCUCGUUGUGCUGCUUUGUACUGCGCGUGAGCACGGGAAAUGCAGUUAGUUGCCGAUC
rnacentral:rRNA from 1 species